AANACGCUGGCGGUAUGCUUUACACAUGCAAGUCGUACGAGAGUUUUUAACUCAAGUGGCGGGACGGGUGAGUAACACGUAAGAAUUUACCUUUAGGAGGGGGAUAACAACUGGAAACGGUUGCUAAUACCCCAUAUGCUUUCGAGUGAAAUGGAUUUUCCGCCUAAAGAGAAGCUUGCGGCUGAUUAGCUUGUUGGUNAGAUAAAAGCUUACCAAGGCGACGAUCAGUAGCUGGUUUGAGAGGAUGAUCAACCACACUGGAACUGAGACACGGUCCAGACUUCUACNGAAGGCANCAGUUGGGAAUUUUCCGCANUGGGCCGAAAGCCUGACGGAGCAAUACCGCGUGAGGGAAGAAUGCCUGUGGGUUGCAAACCUCUUUUNUUAANGAAGAANUUCUUGNCGGUNCUUAAGGAAUAAGCAUCGGCUAACUCCGUGCCAGCAGCCGCGGUAAU
rnacentral:rRNA from 1 species